rnacentral:rRNA from 1 species
GGACCUGACUGCUAUCGGAUUGAUACUAAGCCAUGCGAGUCUUUGCAGUAAUGCAAGGCGGACUGCUCAGUAACACGUAGUCAACUUAACCUAUGGAUGGGUAUAACCUCGGGAAACUGAGAAUAAUUCCCAAUAGAUCAUUUAUCCUGGAAUGGUUGAUGAUUGAAAUGAUUCGUCGCCAUAGGAUAGGACUGCGGCCUAUCAGCUUGUUGGUGAGGUAAAGGCCCACCAAGGCUAUUACAGGUACGGGCUCUGAGAGGAGUAGCCCGGAGAUGGGUACUGAGACACGGACCCAGGCCCUAUGGGGCGCAGCAGGCGAGAAAACUUUGCAAUGUGCGAAAGCACGACGAAGGUUAAUCCGAGUGGUUUCUGCUAAAGAAACCUUUUGUCGAGUCCUAGAAACACUGAUGAAUAAGGGGUGGGCAAGUUCUGGUGUCAGCU